UCGACUACUGUUGAGUCAUCAUCAGGAAUUAUGAAAGCUACUAAAAAUUUUGUAUAACUUGUAAAAUUUUUGGCAGCUUUCAUAAUUCCUGAUGAUGACUCAACAGUAGUCGA